rnacentral:rRNA from 1 species
GACGAACGCUGGCGGCGUGCUUAACACAUGCAAGUCGAACGGAAAGGCCCUGCUUUUGUGGGGUGCUCGAGUGGCGAACGGGUGAGUAACACGUGAGUAACCUGCCCUUGACUUUGGGAUAACUUCAGGAAACUGGGGCUAAUACCGGAUAGGAGCUCCUGCUGCAUGGUGGGGGUGGGAAAGUUUCGGCGGUUGGGGAUGGACUCGCGGCUUAUCAGCUUGUUGGUGGGGUAGUGGCUUACCAAGGCUUUGACGGGUAGCCGGCCUGAGAGGGUGACCGGCCACAUUGGGACUGAGAUACGGCCCAGACUCCUACGGGAGGCAGCAGUGGGGAAUAUUGCACAAUGGGCGGAGGCCUGAUGCAGCAACGCCGCGUGCGGGAUGACGGCCUUCGGGUUGUAAACCGCUUUCGCCUGUGACGAAGCGUGAGUGACGGUAAUGGGUAAAGAAGCACCGGCUAACUACGUG